rnacentral:snRNA from 1 species
GUCCCCUCGGGGACAUCCGAUAAAAUUGGAACGAUACAGAGAAGAUUAGCAUGGCACAAGGAUGAACGCACAAAUCGAGAAAAGGUCCAAAUUUUU